rnacentral:tRNA from 1 species
AAAAUUUUAAGUUAAGCUUAAACUAUUAAUUUUCAAAAUUAAAAAUAUUUUUAUUUAAAUUUUA